rnacentral:rRNA from 1 species
ACGGCUCAGUAACACGUAGUCAACAUACCCAGAGGACGUGGAUAACCUCGGGAAACUGAGUCUAAACCGCGAUAGGUCAAGAUUCCUGGAAUGGUUCCUGAUCGAAAUCUAUAUGGCCUUUGGAUUGGACUGCGGCCGAUCAGGCUGUUGGUGAGGUAAUGGCCCACCAAACCUGUAACCGGUACGGGCUCUGAGAGGAGGAGCCCGGAGAUGGGCACUGAGACAAGGGCCCAGGCCCUAUGGGGCGCAGCAGGCGCGAAACCUCUGCAAUAGGCGAAAGCCUGACAGGGUUACUCUGAGUGACUUUCGUUAAGAGAGUCUUUUGGCACCUCUAAAAAGGGUGUAGAAUAAGGGGUGGGCAAGUCUGGUGUCAGCCGCCGCGGUAAUACCAGCACCCCGAGUGGUCGGGACGAUUAUUGGGCCUAAAGCAUCCGUAGCCGGUUCUGCAAGUCCUCCGUUAAAUCCAACUGCUUAACAGAUGGGCCGCGGAGGAUACUACAGAGCUAGGAGGCAGGAGAGGCAAGCGGUACUCAGUGGGUAGGGGUAAAAUCCGUUGAUCCAUUGAAGACCACCAGUGGCGAAGGCGGCUUGCCAGAAUGCGCUCGACGGUGAGGGAUGAAAGCUGGGGGAGCAAACCGGAUUAGAUACCCGGGUAGUCCCAGCCGUAAACGAUGCAGACUCGGUGAUGGGUUGGCUUCGUGCUAACCCAGUGCCGCAGGGAAGCCGUUAAGUCUGCCGCCUGGGUAGUACGGUCGCAAGACUGAAACUUAAAGGAAUUGGCGGGGGAGCACCACAAGGGGUGAAGCCUGCGGUUCAAUUGGAUUCAACGCCGGGACG